rnacentral:lncRNA from 1 species
GCAUGUAGGUGAGAUAUAGAAGUAUAUCAUCAUUGAAUGUGACCAACUACGGAGCACUCUACCAUCAAGGGUAGCUCACGAAGGGUAUGGGUAUAAGUGUCCCUCCGACUUGAGAUCACCACGAUGACUUGCAAGUAACUCACUGUACUUUAGUGUCAGACUAACUAAAUUUUUAAUUCAGUGAUGAAAGAUUUUUGGGUGAAGUCAAAUACUUGUCAAGUCAGUGCGUGAGUCAAGAUGAGAUUGAUCCCUCCGAAUUAGUAGGACAUAUGCAUUAGUGUAUUUCAAUUUAGCAAACUCUGGACCUGGGUAAUCCAUGUGAU